rnacentral:rRNA from 1 species
GGGUGCGACCAUACCAGCACUAAUGCACCGGAUCCCAUCAGAACUCCGCAGUUAAGCGUGCUUGGGCGAGAGUAGUACUAGGAUGGGUGACCUCCUGGGAAGUCCUCGUGUUGCGCCCCUC